GUGCUCCCCGCCCCUCUGCUGGCUCAUUCAUUCUUUCAGUCCGCGGGUACUUUAUCCUGCGCCUUCUUGUGUCGGGCCUGUGCCGGAGUCUGGGACGUGACACACGGGAGAGCAAAACCCAUUGUCUCUCCUCCCAAGUUUAAAUUCCAGGGGGAAAGCAGCCGAGUCAAUACACGAAUAAAUAAAUAAUACAAAUAGCGAUAUGGGCUUUGAAGGAACAAAACGGAGGAGUAACAAGACAUGAAUGCAAUUUGGAAGACAGGGACCUCUGAAGAGGGAAAAAUCUCGAGAAGAAAAAGAGGCCAAGGAAUGAGUCUUGGUGAACAGAACUUUAAAAGUUGGAGAGAGGAGGAGGAACCUGAGAAGGCAGAGCCAGAAAGAUGAAACCAAAGCCAAAAGUUCUCCAAGGACAGCCAGCCAGUAAGCAGCGGGAGCUGAAAUUCAGGGCUUCUGAAUCCUAGCCUCGUGUUGUUGUUGUUGGCAUUAUCUCAUUUAAAAGCAGAGCAUACCAAGGUUGAAGGAAUUGUAGAGUUCCUAAGUCCAAAGUCUUCAUGUUAUCAAAGGGCAACAGGUAAGAAAGUAAGUUCCUUGUCCAAGAUCUUUUCUCACUUUAGUACAACAGAUGUUUGGAUUCAGGGAGGAUUAAUAGACAGGGGCAUGUGACCAAGAUUAGGGAGACCUAUGUUUAAGUCCCUAUGCUACCAAUUAAUCACUAUAACCUUGGGAAACUCCUGUGAAUCUCUGAACUUCAGUUUUUCAUCUUUCAACUAGGACGUGGAGAGAAGCGU